GCGCGAAAACUUUACAAUGCUGGCAACAGCGAUAAGGGAACCUCGAGUGCCAGGUUACAAAUCUGGCUGUCGAGAUGCCUAAAAAGCGUUUCAUAGCAAGGGCCGGGCAAGACAGGUGCCAGCCGCCGCGGUAACACCGGCGGCUCGAGUGGUAACCGUUAUUAUUGGGUCUAAAGGGUCUGUAGCCGGCCGGAUAAGUCUCUUGAGAAAUCUGGCAGCUUAACUGUCAGGCUUUCAGGAGAUACUGUCUGGCUCGAGGCCGGGAGAGGUGAGAGGUACUUCAGGGGUAGGGGUGAAAUCUUGUAAUCCUUGAAGGACCACCAGUGGCGAAGGCGUCUCACCAGAACGGACCUGACGGCAAGGGACGAAAGCUAGGGGCACGAACCG
rnacentral:rRNA from 1 species